AUUGAACGCUGGCGGCAGGCCUAACACAUGCAAGUCGAGCGGAAGCAGGGAGCUUGCUCCUGGAUUCAGCGGCGGACGGGUGAGUGAUGCCUAGGAAUCUGCCAGGUAGUGGGGGAUAAGGUCCGGAAACGGGCGCUGAUACCGCAUACGUCCUGAGGGAGAAAGUGGGGGAUCUUCGGAUCUCACGCUAUUGGAUGAGCCUAGGUCGGAUUAGCUAGUUGGUGGGGUAAAGGCCUACCAAGGCGACGAUCCGUAGCUGGUCUGAGAGGAUGAUCAGCCACACUGGAACUGAGACACGGUCCAGACUCCUACGGGAGGCAGCAGUGGGGAAUAUUGGACAAUGGGCGAAAGCCUGAUCCAGCCAUGCCGCGUGUGUGAAGAAGGUCUUCGGAUUGUAAAGCACUUUUAGUUGGGAGGAAGGGCAGUAAGUUAAUACCUUGCUGUUUUGACGUUACCAACAGAAUAAGCACCGGCUAACUUCGUG
rnacentral:rRNA from 1 species